rnacentral:rRNA from 1 species
CCUACGGGAGGCAGCAGUGGGGAAUAUUGGGCAAUGGGCGCAAGCCUGACCCAGCAACGCCGCGUGAAGGAAGAAGGCUUUCGGGUUGUAAACUUCUUUUGUCAGGGAAGAGUAGAAGACGGUACCUGACGAAUAAGCCACGGCUAACUACGUGCCAGCAGCCGCGGUAAUAAGUAGGUGGCAAGCGUUGUCCGGAUUUACUGGGUGUAAAGGGCGUGUAGCCGGGUUGACAAGUCAGAUGUGAAAUCCUGCGGCUUAACCGCAGAACUGCAGUUGAAACUGUUGAUCUUGAGUACUGGAGAGGCAGACGGAAUUCCUAGUGUAGCGGUGAAAUGCGUAGAUAUUAGGAGGAACAACAGUGGCGAAGGCGGUCUGCUGGACAGCAACUGACGGUGAGGCGCGAAAGCGUGGGGAGCAAACAGGAUUAGAUACCCCAGUAGUC